rnacentral:piRNA from 1 species
UCACACAGUAAUGAUGUGACUGGGGGC